rnacentral:rRNA from 1 species
AUUGAACGCUGGCGGCAUGCCUUACACAUGCAAGUCGAACGGUAACGGGCCUUCGGGUGCCGACGAGUGGCGAACGGGUGAGUAAUACAUCGGAACGUGCCCGAUCGUGGGGGAUAACGAGGCGAAAGCUUUGCUAAUACCGCAUACGAUCUACGGAUGAAAGCAGGGGACCGCAAGGCCUUGCGCGGACGGAGCGGCCGAUGGCAGAUUAGGUAGUUGGUGGGAUAAAAGCUUACCAAGCCGACGAUCUGUAGCUGGUCUGAGAGGAUGAUCAGCCACACUGGGACUGAGACACGGCCCAGACUCCUACGGGAGGCAGCAGUGGGGAAUUUUGGACAAUGGGCGCAAGCCUGAUCCAGCCAUGCCGCGUGCAGGACGAAGGCCUUCGGGUUGUAAACUGCCUUUGUACGGAACGAAAAGCCUUCUUUUAAUACAGGAGGGUCAUGACGGUACCGUAAGAAUAAGCACCGGCUAACUACGUG